rnacentral:lncRNA from 1 species
AGACUUGUAACAAGUUCAGAGAAAUUAGGGGGAAAAAAAAAAUAAAAAGGAGAGAAAAAAGCCACCCCCUCCUAAUUCUGAAAGCAGGACAGUUUUGAAAUGUAACCCUGUAUAGGAAUUCAAAAUAUUUUUCACUUCCUCUGCUCGUCGCUUUAGUGCACUGGCACUACUCGCUCAGAUUUUAUUUUUUUUCUCCCAGGAAUGCACAAGAACCACUCUGUAAAUUCCUCAGGUCCGAUUUUAAGAGGAGCUGUGCAACGUUACUCGCGGAGGAGCGAAGUGAUCCCGAGCCCUUCCUGCAGUAACUCUUCCUCCUUCACACACCGAGCGGUGCCUGCGUUCAUCGCCGCCAGCGGUGCCCGCGCUGGGAAAUCGGUGGCAAAAGUGGGAAAACGGGGGUCUCACCCUGGGUUCCCAGGAGAUGUGAGGUUCCCACCUCACAGAACCACAAAAUGGUUUGGGUGGAAGGGACCCCGAAGGCCACCCGGUCCCAACCCCGUGCCAUGGGCAGGGACGCCUGCCACCAGCCCCGUGACAAACAGACAUCAAAAGGGCUCCUCCAGCCGGGGUUAUUUCCACAUCAAAUGCCCACCUCCAGUCCCGAGCCAUCUGGGAGAGAGAGCGCUUCAUAAAGGGAGAGGGCAGAUUAAUAUUAUUUUUCAGAAGCGUAAUGGGAGGUUUCCACUUCCAAAGCACUUCAGAGCCAUUUUUUUUUUUUUUUUUUUUUCGCACGAAACCAGAAUAAUUCCAUCCCCAGAGGAGAAUGAAGAAGAAAAACGCAUUAGAGGGAGUUACGGGUUCUUGAACGAGCGGUCGGGCAGGAGAGAAACUCGCCCGGUGCCGGCGCCUUGGGGCUGCUCUCGCCCACGCCGCGGGGCGAUGCUGCCGGGGUCCCGGCACCGGGAUGUGUCCGUGCUGGGAAAGGGACCGGGUGUGCUUUGCUAUAACCAGCAGCCAUCCCCAGCCCUGCUCACCCCACUGGGGAAAAAUCAUUUCCCAGAGGCUACUGCUAGUUUUUUUUGGGGGGGGAAUUUGUUGCAAUUUUAUGGUUUUC